rnacentral:rRNA from 1 species
UGGGGAAUUGUUCACAAUGGGCGCAAGCCUGACGCAGCGACACCGCGUGGGGGAUGAAGGCCCUCGGGUUGUAAACCCCUUUCGGCAGGGACGAAGCGAAAGUGACGGUACCUGCAGAAGAAGCCCCGGCUAACUACGUGCCAGCAGCCGCGGUAAGACGUAGGGGGCGAGCGUUGUCCGGAUUCAUUGGGCGUAAAGAGCGCGUAGGCGGCCCGGAAAGUGGGGUGUGAAAACCCGAGGCUCAACCUCGGGCGUGCAUUCCAAACUCCCGGGCUCGAGGCAGGUAGGGGAGAUCGGAAUUCCUGGUGUAGCGGUGAAAUGCGCAGAUAUCAGGAGGAACACCGGUGGCGAAGGCGGAUCUCUGGGCCUGUUCUGACGCUGAGGCGCGAAAGCUAGGGGAGCGAACAG